rnacentral:rRNA from 1 species
GACGAACGCUGGCGGCGUGCCUAAUACAUGCAAGUAGAACGCUGAAGGAGGAGCUUGCUUCUCUGGAUGAGUUGCGAACGGGUGAGUAACGCGUAGGUAACCUGCCUGGUAGCGGGGGAUAACUAUUGGAAACGAUAGCUAAUACCGCAUAAGAGUGGAUGUUGCAUGACAUUUGCUUAAAAGGUGCACUUGCAUCACUACCAGAUGGACCUGCGUUGUAUUAGCUAGUUGGUGGGGUAACGGCUCACCAAGGCGACGAUACAUAGCCGACCUGAGAGGGUGAUCGGCCACACUGGGACUGAGACACGGCCCAGACUCCUACGGGAGGCAGCAGUAGGGAAUCUUCGGCAAUGGACGGAAGUCUGACCGAGCAACGCCGCGUGAGUGAAGAAGGUUUUCGGAUCGUAAAGCUCUGUUGUAAGAGAAGAACGAGUGUGAGAGUGGAAAGUUCACACUGUGACGGUAUCUUACCAGAAAGGGACGGCUAACUAC